UCGGCGCCCAGUCUGACUGUCGAUCUGGUCACAGAACUAGUAAAGACGGCUCCUACGUCAGAAAAAGAUGCGGCGACUGCGCCCACUGCCAGCGCUGGUGACCCGCGGACGGACACAACAGCAUUGCACAGGCACCCUGGAAUAAGUAUUUUCAACAAUGAACAUAUCUGGUCAUCUGAAAAGUGUUCUACAAUAAAAUAAAUCCUAAUGUGUGCCUUUUUGUAGGGGACUGAAUUUUGAGCACCACUUCCCUGGAUGUGGCUGAGGAUGUGCAGAAAAUUGGAUGUUCAUUUGGGAUAUUCCUUUUCAAGAACUCAUGUCCUGUUUGAAGAGAAUGAGAACUUGGCUAUGCCUCACAAAUGGUAAAAGUGGAACACAAAUCAGAUGCCAGGGGGAUCUUUGCUCACCUUGACUAGAUUUCCUGCCCCAUUACCACCUUCUUACCAUUGAUCUCCUGACAUUGUGGACUUCAUGGUACACCUUAUUCCAAUGAUAAUAAAGAAUUGAAUAGAUUGAUUGCUUCCUAGGUGGUUGCUUUUAGCUGUCAGACAUACAUCCAUAAUAUUCCAAUUACUACAAUAAUGGCAAAAGUGUAGCAAUGAUUUUAAAUUUAGACAUUUAUUAGAUUUUUUGUAGAGUGCUAUGCAAUUAAAAGUUG